rnacentral:lncRNA from 1 species
GACCACGCAAUUCAGCCAAUGAUAGAGCUUGUAAUACUCCACUUUGCAGAUACUUGUAAUACUAUCGACCACGCAAUUCAGCCAAUGAUAGAGCUUGAUCAUCUUUAUUGAAUUUUAAAUUCUAAAAGUAUUAUUCAGCAGUUCAAUAAAUUAGGCAUGGAAGAGCAAUCUUUUAAUUCACUUUUUCCCAUAAGGCCAUAGCAGAACAGAGAGGUGGCAAAAUCCUUUGGAAUUGGCAAGUUGGAUUUUUCUUCCCAAAUUCUUGAAUCUUGAUAACAAAUACAGAUAUCUGGAUCCUCUUGCCGACCUAACUUUGCCUUUUCAAGUUGGCUUUUUAUAUUAUGGUUUUUUAGGCCUCUGCAACUUUAUUUCUUUCCUUCUUUGCUUGUUACCUCUUUUUUUCUUUUUUUUUUUCUGGCAUGACAACUGUCCUGAUUUUGUUCUAGGUACAUAUAAUGUUUUGUUAGAUCUAUUACGCUUAGGAUUUUACCGAAGAUUUCUACUUCUCUGACACAGUUUUAUUCUUCUUAAACUAGCCAAAUGGAGCAAUAUUUGUUAGGAUCUAAAUAAUUAGAUGUCAUAUGAAAAUUAUCAAAAUAAACCUUAAACGACGAUAAAUUAGACGACAAAAGAGAAAUAUAUCAAAAGAGACACAAACAUCUAACAUGAUUUAGUCAAUUGACUUACAUCUAUGACAGAGACGAACAAUCCACUAUAUAAAAAAGAGUACAAAAUAUCGAGAGAACAACCUCACAAAAAGGCAAAUAAAAGUGGCAGGCUAAUACUUGUCCUGUAAUUCUCCCCUAAACAAGACUCUCAAAUCUCGUAUGACUAAAUUGUGGAUGCUGUUAAAUGAGAAGGAAGGAUCCUCAAUUUAUAGAAGUCCAUAUAUUUUCCUACAAGAAAAGGGACUAUCCAAAUAUGAGAGAUUUAUAAUUUCCUUCUAUAAAAAGGAAAACUCAAUUAUAGUAAAUAUGUUGCACUUUCCUUCAACAUAUACGAAAACUAAAUAUGGUAAGAAAACCAGGACAACCACUUAACAAUUCUCCCCCUUGGCUUGAAUUUUUCGACAAAAUGAACUUGAACAACCUUCUUCACAUAAUCUUCAACAAGUCGUAUCUCCAAAUCUUUACCAAAAAGUUCGUCAUAGGAGUACCACUGUGACACCCCGUAAAUUUUUGUUAUUUAUUUUUUUGAACUAUAAUAUUCGGAAGUGAAUUUGAGUCCUUAGUAAGGACCAUUGAGUUAUUGUUUUAAUUAGAGUUUCCUACGUAAAUAGACUAUGUAUAUAAUAUUUAAGUCUGAGAUAAAAUAAAAUAAUUAAUUGGCUAGAGGUCAAACUUACAAUUUACACAAUUGGUUGACUUUAUAAGAGAUUUUAGUUAAUUCCUAAAGGUUUAAAAAUGGGCCAGACCCAUUAUUCCUUUGCUGGCCACGUUAAGAAGUCUAAGGUGAAGACAUAUGGAUAUUGGAUGUCUUUGUUUAUUUAAUAAGAAGAGAACGCAGACAAGAGAAGGGGUCUUGGAAGAUUAACAGCGGCGCACUUCCAAGGGAAACUGGAGGGAUUAUUAUGUUAUCUUUCAGUCGUACAAUCAUCAAGGAAGGGAUUGAUAAUUAAAGAAAAUUAGUUACUGCUUGGUUGCCUUGUUCGUCCAGUAGCUAAACGAGAGGCAUCGGUCUUUCGAAUUGAAAUUUCAGCAACCGCCUAGAGAUUAAGACCAGUGGAGACUGUUUGGUUGGUGUUUUGAAUUUUGCAUGGUUAAGGGACUUUUCAUUAGCGAGGUAAGUGAGACUUUAAAUUUUGGUGUUUGCUUUUCUAAAAUCCGUUUUAAAAAUAAAUUAUCUCUGUCCGGUCUAUGUGUUGGGACAAGCGUGUACUUGGCAGAAUCGGUGGUCUUAGACUAGCCGCAAAUAUAUUAUUGUAUGAAAAAUACAAAAUAAAAAAAAAUAUAUUAUUUUAUAAGUUGUUUGAUAGUUUGAUACGGCUGUGAGCCAUGUGUUGAGUUUGAUACGGCUGUGUGCCUUGAUGUUGAGUUUGAUAGUUUGAUACGGCUGUGUGCCACGAUGUUGAGUUUGAUACGGCUGUGCGCCAUGAUAUUGAGUUUGUUACGGCUGUGCGCCAUGAUGUUGAGUUUGAUACGGCUGUGCGCCAUAAUGUUGGGGCAUUGUGUAUGCUCUAUUACAUAUUUGAGGCAUUGUGGUGCCGUUGUGGACUCGUAGGUGUGUUGGUAAAUUUCUUUCACUGUAAUUAUGAUAAGUCCUUAGUGGGUACUCUUGUUGGUUAAUUCUUAACAACUCUGUUGAUACAUAUAUAUUGAGUUAUUGUAUAAUUAUUAUAUUUACUACAUCAUUCGUGUUGUGGCAUGUUUGUAUUUUCUAACACUUGUUCCACAGGUAUUUAAAGUGGCGGGUCGAGGAUCUUACUGGGUUAUAUUUAUAUAUAACUCACUCCUUACUUGCAUCUCUAUGCAGAUACCGGUGCGGAAGAUAGAGCUAGUGGCUGACGAGUUGUUCGAGUGGAUCCUAUUGCUGAGGUGAGCCACCGCAUUGUUCGUGGAGGCUUUCGUUUCAUACUUACCUAGCUCGUGUUAGUUAUUUCCUUUUUCUUUGGGGCUUGUAUACCCGUCAAUAAAACUCAUGUUACUCUGUUAGAUGCUCCAUGAUCUUAGUGUGGGAUUUGGGUUAGAGAUUUAGUAUUUGAGUACUCAUUAGAUUUUAUUAAUAAAUUAUAAUUUUAGUUGGAUAAUUAUUUCGCAUUUAGUAAUUUUUAAUGCAUUUGGACUUGUACGUAUUUUUCUCAAGGUUUAUAUAAAAGUGUAAGAGUACGGGAA